UACGGAAGGCAGCAGUGGGGAAUAUUGCACAAUGGGCGCAAGCCUGAUGCAGCCAUGCCGCGUGUAUGAAAAAGGCCUUCGGGUUGUAAAGUACUUUCAGUCGUGAGGAAGGUGUUAAGGUUAAUAACCUUAGCAAUUGACGUUAGCGACAGAAGAAGCACCGGCUAACUCCGUGCCAGCAGCCGCGGUAAUACGGAGGGUGCGAGCGUUAAUCGGAAUUACUGGGCGUAAAGGGCACGCAGGCGGUUAAUUAAGUUGGAUGUGAAAUCCCCGGGCUUAACCUGGGAAUGGCAUUCAAGACUGGUUAGCUAGAGUCUUGUAGAGGGGGUAGAAUUCCAUGUGUAGCGGUGAAAUGCGUAGAGAUGUGGAGGAAUACCGGUGGCGAAGGCGGCCCCCUGGACAAAGACUGACGCUCAUGUGCGAAAGCGUGGGGAGCAAACAGGGAUUAAUA
rnacentral:rRNA from 1 species